CAAACGUACGUCAUAUUUCUAGUUAAUCUGCUGAAGCUUUUGAAAUGCAAUAUGAUGUACGAUAUUCCCCCUCAACGGUUUUUUGAGAAAACAUAGUACAGUUGACAUUGAAUGCUAUCUGGUUGAUUUUGGUUUUGAUAGCAAAGAUGAAUGUCUAAACUAGCUUUGAGGAAACGCUUGUAGUAAGACUGGGGUUUAGCCUUGUAAUGUUCACACUAGUACGAAGAAAGAAGGGUUUGCAGAAGAAUGCUACUCUUAUUGCAGCUUUACAGUAAAGGUAAGAACAUGUCUCGUGCUUUCCAAGAGAUGCUAUGCAUUAAUUUAUUUAUUUUUCACUUCCAACUAUACAGAUUAACUGAAUUAUACAUUCAGGUCUAAAUAAAGCAAUUAUUUAUACAUCAAAGUAACUAAACAGAUCGUCUCCUGAGGGCCAAUCUAGAUUGAUGGGGAGAAUCCCAUGAAGACUGAUAUGAACACUAGAACUGCAAUCGAUGGAGAGAAAAUCGAGCGAAGUCUGGAAAGCGUAAAAUGCAGUAUUAAGCCUGUGAGGCCCUGCAGAUUGGACACUUAGCCCUGAUGCUUAACCACUGAUCUAUACAUUCGACAUGGAAACAAUGUUGGCAUUCAGGCAUGACCCUUAUUGUAUCAUGUGGAACAUAAUCUACGAGGCAUAUUGCGCAGGUUAUAUCAUUAGGUCCUUCAAUCCGACGACUUUCACCAAUUGUGAUCUUUUUGUAGGUUUCGAUUGUGGAUAUGCCCAGCCCUGGUGUCACUGUGUCUGAUGAACUAGCUAUUCCGGAAGUUUGGUUUGAACCACUGUCCUGAAGGUUGUUGCGUCUCAUCAUGCAUAUGCAGCAUGAUAUGAUGAUUAUCACUACCGGAAUAACCAUGGAUGCUAUGACAAAUGACAAGGCAACGGUUCUAGAAACAGAAAAUCUAGAUUGAUGGGGAGAAUUCCAUGAAGACUGAUAUGAACACUGGAACUGCAAUCGGUGGAGAGAAAAUCAAACGAAGUCUGGAAAGUGUGAAAUGAAGUAUUAAGCUUGUGGGGUCCGGCAGAUUGGACACUUAGCCUUGAUGCUUAGCCACUGAUGGAUACAAUCGGCAUGGAAACAAUGUUGGCAUUCAGGUUUCAAUGGUGGAUAGCCCUGCUGUCGCCGUGUUUGAUGAACCAGCUGUUCUGGAAGUUUGGUCUGAACCACUGUCAGGAAAGUUGUUGCGUCUCAUCAUGCAUAUGCAGCACGAUAUGCAUAUUAUCACUAUCACUACAACCGAGGCUGCUAUUUUAAAUGACGAGUGACCCUUUCCAGAAACAGUUACUUUAUUUUCACCUGCAAAUAUUAUUUUAGCAAUGAAGGAAGGAUGGUAUUAGCUAAUUCAUUAUUAUCUAUGUCAGUGUGGAACUCUCGAUUCUGUGGAUCUUCUUGAAUAUUUAUAUCCUCCCCCACCAAGAUAUAUUAUGAGAUUUUGCUCAUUAAUCUUGAUAGAAGUUAUUUAAGAAAAAUAAAAAAAUCACACAUAUCUUUAGUCUCUGACUACCAUAUUUGAGAAGGAAGUUGGAAAUAGAGCAGAAGUAUCAUUUGUUGACCUUGUGAGUAUGAUUAUAUAAAGUUUAGUUAACACUGGCUUUGUCAAAUGUGUUUAUUAUAUUGCUCUUACUGAAUAUAUUAGCAUUCUUCAGCAUUUGUGCUGUCAUCAUCAAGAAUACUUUGAUCCAAUUAAAGUAAAGAACUACUUUAGAAAGUCCACCAACAGCCUCAUGAAUUAUGAUUACGAUAAAUGGUAUGUGAAACAAAGAUUUUUACCUAUAUCAGGGUCAUUCCAUGUUAUAUCGAACUCGACUGGAAAGCGGUCGUCAAGAAAAUAAGAUGAAACCGGGAGUGCUAACGUGACAUUUUUCUUGCACUUGGGAAAAUUCGAUGCUCCAUACUUUAAAGCCAAGAUAUCUGUGGUAGUGUUGCUGAGGCAAUCCACGACAUAACUAGAACGCAGCCCUUUAGGACAGCUGAUAAAGGUGUAAAUCUGAUAGGAAACAGCCAUGAAUGGAUAGUAUGAAAGAUUCGAGCU